GCCGGAGACGCUUCUGGAAGCACCAGCGCCAUGGCUGCCCAGGGAGAGCCCCAAGUCCAGUUCAAACUGGUGCUGGUUGGCGACGGUGGCACCAGGAAGACGACGUUCGUGAAGCGUCACCUGACGGGUGAAUUUGAGAAGAAGUAUGUAGCCACCUUGGGCGUGGAGGUCCACCCGCUCGUGUUCCACACGAACAGGGGACCCAUCAAGUUCAACGUGUGGGACACGGCCGGCCAGGAGAAGUUCGGCGGGCUGCGGGAUGGCUACUACAUCCAGGCCCAGUGUGCCAUUAUAAUGUUUGAUGUCACAUCAAGGGUUACUUACAAGAAUGUGCCUAACUGGCAUAGAGAUCUGGUACGAGUGUGUGAGAACAUCCCUAUUGUGCUGUGUGGCAACAAAGUGGACAUUAAGGACAGGAAAGUUAAGGCAAAAUCUAUUGUCUUCCACCGAAAGAAGAAUCUUCAGUACUAUGACAUUUCUGCCAAAAGUAACUACAACUUUGAAAAGCCCUUCCUGUGGCUUGCUAGAAAACUAAUUGGAGACCCUAAAUUGGAGUUUGUCGCCAUGCCCGCUCUUGCCCCACCAGAGGUUGUCAUGGACCCAGCUUUGGCAGCACAGUAGGAGCAUAAUCUAGAGGUUGCUCAGACAACUGCUCUCCCAGAUGAAGAUGAUGACCUGUGA